UGACGGUACCACCAGAAAAAGCAACGGCUAACUACGUGCCAGCAGCCGCGGUAAUACGUAGGUUGCAAGCGUUGUCCGGAUUUACUGGGUGUAAAGGGCGUGUAGGCGGAGCUGCAAGUCAGAUGUGAAAUCCCGGGGCUCAACCCCGGAACUGCAUUUGAAACUGUAGCCCUUGAGUAUCGGAGAGGCAAGCGGAAUUCCUAGUGUAGCGGUGAAAUGCGUAGAUAUUAGGAGGAACACCAGUGGCGAAGGCGGCUUGCUGGACGACAACUGACGCUGAGGCGCGAAAGCGUGGGGAGCAAACAGGAUUAGAUACCCUG
rnacentral:rRNA from 1 species